rnacentral:tRNA from 1 species
GGGGAUUUAGCUCAGCGGCAUAAGCACCUGCCUUGCAAGCAGGCCGCUGUGAGUUCAAUCCCUG